AUCGAUAAUACACGUUAANUCUUUCUUCAAUUAUAAAUUUAUAUACCGCCAUCUCAAGAAUUAAUUUCAAAAUAUUUCUCUAAAAAAUAAAUAUAAAGUUAGGUCAAGGUGUAAUCUAUAUUAAAGAAUCAGAUGAAUUACACUAAAAACAAUUUAAAGACUAUAUAUAUAUAUAUAUAUACAAAUAAGAAUUUAAAAGUAAUAUUAAAAUAAUACUACAAUAUGAUAUAGAUAAUGAAUGUGCACACAUCGCCC
rnacentral:rRNA from 1 species